rnacentral:rRNA from 1 species
GACGAACGCUGGCGUCGUGCUUAACACAUGCAAGUCGAACGAAGUGGCGAACGGGUGAGUACUACGUGAGUAACUGCCCUCCUUUUUGGGAUAAGCCUUGGAAACGGGUUCUAAUACCGAAUAACGGGGGAGGGGCUCGCGGCCUAUCAUCUUUUUGGUGGGGUGAUGGCCUACCAAGGCGGUGACGGGUAGCCGGCCUGAGAGGGGACCGGGAACAUUGGGCUGGGAGAAGGGCAAGACUCCUACGGGAGGCAGCAGGGGGGGAUAUUGCACAAUGGGUGAAAGCCUGAUGCAGCGACGCCGCGUGAUUUAGAAGGCCGUGGGGUUGUAAAAAUCUUUUAUAUGGGAACAGUACCAUAGGAAUAAGGACCGGCUAAUUACGUGCCAGCAGCCGCGGUAAUUC